rfam:Trichuris muris Edinburgh genomic scaffold, scaffold11
GGCGGACGCUCCGUGUUCACUGUCUGUCUUGAUCUGCCUUCAGCAUUAAGGCACGCGGUGAAUGCCAAGCGUCAGCCG